rnacentral:tRNA from 1 species
UUCUGGUGGCUCAGACAGUAAAGAAUCUGCCUGCAAUGCAGGAGUCCCAGGUUCGAUCCCUGGAUCAGGAA